UCUUUAUCCACGCUUUUCUCUGUAUCUGGUCGCCGGUGUUUGUGUGAAGGUGAAUACCAUAUGAUGUUAUUCUGAUGGUUCAUUUCCGAUUCACACCUCCAGAUGUGGAGUUCUUCAUUGCCUCGUAUCUCCAUCUUCAGCAAUUUGGAACUCUAUCUGUGUUGAAACCACAGUCCGAGCUCAUCUUGUUGGUUGGACCUCCAUAGCUUCUGUUUUAUGAGACGGAGUGGGAUUCGUUGGCAACCUUGGGUUGACAUUUUUCCAAAAAAUGCAACUCCUCUCGCCAUUUCAGGUUAUGCAUUUAAUUUCUAUUUUAGGAUGUUUCAAAUGUUUGGCACACUUGUAUGAAUCUUCACACUUUAUGAACCAAAUGAAGGAAAAGUUGAUUGGAGCAGCUAUUUGAAGAUCAACACAGUUGGGUUUACAUAAAUAGCGGAGAACACACAAUCAUAUAUUUUAUCUUAACCUUUCUUUCUUUAUAAAUUUGGACCAUUUUUUAAGCAUGCAUUAAUAAUGCUACACUCCUUUUGCACAUAUAUAAGGCUAGCAUAUCAGAAGAGAAAAUGUCAAA